GCCAGUUCCUGGAAGACACCUUCUUCAAGCAGUGGUACAGGAAGAAGUCUGCAUCCUUCAAGAAAAACAUGAUUUUCAUGCAGGACAAUGCUCCAUCACACGCGUCCAAGUACUCCACAGAGUGGCUGGCAAGAAAGGGUAUAAAAGAAGAAAAUCUAAUGACAUGGCCUCCUUGUUCACCUGAUCUGAACCCCAUUGAGAACCUGUGGUCCAUCAUCAAAUGUGAGAUUUACAAGGAGGGAAAACAGUACACCUCUCUGAACAGUGUCUGGGAGGCUGUGGUUGCUGCUGCACGCAAUGUUGAUGGUGAACAGAUCAAAAC